rnacentral:tRNA from 1 species
GGCAAAGUGGCUUAAUGGUAGAGUGCUUGCCUAGCAUGCAUGAAGUCCUAGGUUUGAUUCCUCAGUACCA